GCGCUAUCUCCCCGUGAACAGUAACAUGCCAUAUUGAUUUACUCUUUUAGCCCUUUUUGUUUCUUAAUUACGACACUGCCAUUCAACAUUCUGAGGGUGACAGAGAGACCGGGAGAGGUGUCUUCUGGGUCUUUUACGAGAGGAAGAGGUCUUCUGCGAGAGACAUGCACAGAAAGAAGAAGAGGGAAAUUCACAUCGCCAGACUGAUCGGAGAGAGAAGGAGAAGAGGGGGACGAGAAGAAGAAGAAGAGGAAUCUGGGUAAUUGGAUAAUGAUCUGAAAUUGCCCGACAUAGAGAGAAAGAGAAGUGCGCCGAUUAGGUCCUCCACAAGCGGAAGGAGUUUCUGGGUCAUUUACUUUUCCACUUCUACCAGAAGCCUGUACGAUUAUUUCUGUCUUCUUCGAUGAUGAUUGCUUUAAAUUCUCGGCAUGACAUCAUUGAGGUGACGCUAACUUUAUGUUCUUUGGGGACCUUGAAGAGAAUAGAAUUUUAGCAGGGUAAAGGGAACCCAAUCAUAGCAAGUGUUUAUUUCUUCGUUAGCUACCAUUUGAUUGGAUCCAGUGGAUUACUAUUUGAUAGAAAGCGCAAGGAUUCCUCCGCUGCAGACCAGUGAUUGAGCAAAGGAGAAAAGAACGGCUUUGGGUCUUGAGUUUGUGAUUGAAAAUUUGAAAUUAUAUGCAUGUUAAUUCAGAGAUUGAAUCGACCAGUACCUCGACUUGAUGUGAGCGUCAAAGUGUUCAUCAUUAGUAAGCAAACAAACCCGCGGCAUCGCGCGGGAGGAAUUG